ensembl:lncRNA
GGGUGUACCCUAUAACUUCUGCGUUAUGCCCCAGCCCUCCAGCAACCUGUAAAUCCAUUGAAUUUUGUAUGUUAACCAAAAUCUAGACUUUGCUGAAUAUUAUGUAAUAUGAAGACAACAUGCAGUGUUUAAGUGACCAAGUAGAAUUGGGUAAAAGUUACUGAAUUAGUGUUGGAAUAAAAUGACAAAAUUGUGAAUGAUUGAAAUAUUCCAAGAGCUUAACUUGCUUCAUCUAAACAUGUUUCAAUCACGUUUUAUAAACCCAAAAUGCACAGGUUUAUGAAUAUGAAUAAGUUGUUUCGAUAUAACACAGUUGUUUACGUUUCACCCAAAGCAAAAAAAUUGUGUGCAACCAAUGUACAGUACUGAAUUAAGUAAAUCCAACACGUUCUCUUUUUCAGUGCACCCUGUACACCUGAUGGCCAGUCCAGCUGUGGUCAAAUUGUAUUAAAAAAAUAACUUCUGCUUAUACUGUAGGGUCUUUCCCUUUGUCAGUACAUGGAAGAAAAAGAAAUUAAUGAGAAGCAAAACAUUUUUCUUAAUAAAAAAAAAAAAAAGAUUGUAUAUUUGCAUGAAGACCGUUCCAGCCAAUGGGGGUUUGUUGAUAAAAUUAUUCUCUGUGAUUGGUGGCUCCAUGGCCACCAGCACAGUGAGAAGAGGUUUAAAAAGGUCCCAGCACAGCAUUCACUGCAAGCUGAAUGACAGCAAUGGCUCAUCUGUUCCUCCUUCUCCUUCUGUGGGUUGGCUUUGCCAUGAUAAAUUGGUCAGUUGACAACCAGGAGCCGUACACCUUAACCUCAGAGGCCAGGACAUCCAGGGGCAGUGUGAACACGCACUUGCUUAAAUGGGACGCAAGACGGACUAUAGAGGGCCACCCCCUUGCCAGACAACCAAGUGCUGUCCCUGUCCACGGCCAGUGUGAGAAGGACACUCACUAAAGUCAACCCACACAAAGCUGCUGGACCAGACAAUAUACCUGGACGCGUGCUCGGAGCCCGUGCUGACCAGCUGACUGAUGUCCUAGCGGGCAUCUUUAACAUCUCCCUGAGUCAAGCUGUUGUGCCACAGUGCUUUAAAACCACCACCAUCAUACCUGUCCCCAGACCUUCCCAAAGCCUAAUUCCACAAUGAUUGCCUGAGCCUAUUCUUGUUAAAUGAUGAAAAACUCAAAGGCACGUUUGGGCAGUGGAUCUGUGUGAAAUCAGCAGCUUGCAAAACGAAAUCAAAAUGUGUGCUAUUGAUUCUAAAAAUAGAAAUCACAAUAAAGUUCAACAUUUACUAAAACCGCCAUUCAGUCAUCUGAGAGUCUUUACUCAUGAAAUUAUAAUGGUUAGAUGAAUGUAUAUGCAGUGAUUUACUGAUCAAUGAUAAAAGGGGAGAUUUAUGCAGUAACGAAGACUGUCAUGAAAAGUAUUUGGCAUCUGAUCUCCUGUAACCUGCGGAGCUAAGCUGUUUUACCAGCUCUGCUCUCUGAUUUUUCUUUUUUCUUUUAUGAAAAAACACAAGUUGUCAAAGUUAUUUGUUUGCAAAUGUAUUUCAGAAAUAUCGACAUACUUUUUUUAAUCAGCAGAAACUUUAUGUCAGUAGUGCAAAAACCUGCACUGAUCUGACCUCAUUUCUUCCUCAUCCUGAUUCCUGACCUGGGAAGGGAGAGAACUAUUUGUUUUUGUUUGUCUUCUUGUUUUAUUUAAUUCCUUGUGGGAUUUGGAUCCAACAUGUAAAGUAUGCAUAUUAUGCACACACACAAACACACAUGCAGCUAUUACCCAUUUCUUGUAUUCUUGAAUAAAGACAUUGAUUUGACACAUUUA